rnacentral:rRNA from 1 species
AUGCAGUCGAGGGGCAGCAUGAUUUGUAGCAAUACAGAUUGAUGGCGACCGGCGCACGGGUGAGUAACGCGUAUGCAACUUACCUAUCAGAGGGGGAUAGCCCGGCGAAAGUCGGAUUAAUACCCCAUAAAACAGGGGUCCCGCAUGGGAAUAUUUGUUAAAGAUUCAUCGCUGAUAGAUAGGCAUGCGUUCCAUUAGGCAGUUGGCGGGGUAACGGCCCACCAAACCGACGAUGGAUAGGGGUUCUGAGAGGAAGGUCCCCCACAUUGGUACUGAGACACGGACCAAACUCCUACGGGAGGCAGCAGUGAGGAAUAUUGGUCAAUGGCCGAGAGGCUGAACCAGCCAAGUCGCGUGAAGGAAGAAGGAUCUAUGGUUUGUAAACUUCUUUUAUAGGGGAAUAAAGUGGAGGACGUGUCCUUUUUUGUAUGUACCCUAUGAAUAAGCAUCGGCUAACUCCGUGCCAGCAGCCGCGGUAAUACGGAGGAUGCGAGCGUUAUCCGGAUUUAUUGGGUUUAAAGGGUGCGUAGGUGGUGAUUUAAGUCAGCGGUGAAAGUUUGUGGCUCAACCAUAAAAUUGCCGUUGAAACUGGGUUACUUGAGUGUGUUUGAGGUAGGCGGAAUGCGUGGUGUAGCGGUGAAAUGCAUAGAUAUCACGCAGAACUCCGAUUACGAAGGCAGCUUACUAAACCAUA